rnacentral:rRNA from 1 species
AGGAAAUUUGAGAGGAGCUGUCCUUAGUACGAGAGGACCGGGAUGGACGCACCGCUGGUGUACCAGUUGUCUUGCCAAAGGCAUAGCUGGGUAGCUACGUGCGGACGGGAUAAGUGCUGAAAGCAUCUAAGCAUGAAGCCCCCCUCAAGAUGAGAUUUCCUUUUGCUUCGGCAAGUAAGAUCCCUGAAAGAUGAUCAGGUAGAUAGGUUCGAGGUGGAAGCGUGGCGACACGUGCAGCUGACGAAUACUAAUCGAUCGAGGACUUAACCCAA